GCAUAUCAAUAAGCGGAGGAAAAGAAACCAACAGGGAUUACCUCAGUAACGGCGAGUGAAGCGGUAAUAGCUCAAAUUUGAAAUCUGGCCUCUCGGGGUCCGAGUUGUAAUUUGUAGAGGAUGUUUUGGGUACCGCCCCGGUCUAAAUUUCUUGGAACAGAAUGUCAAAGAGGGUGAGAAUCCCGUCUUGGACCGGCGGUAGGGCCUGUGUAAAACUCCUUCGACGAGUCGAGUUGUUUGGGAAUGCAGCUCAAAAUGGGUGGUAAAUUUCAUCUAAAGCUAAAUAUUGGCCAGAGACCGAUAGCGCACAAGUAGAGUGAUCGAAAGAUGAAAAGCACUUUGAAAAGAGAGUUAAACAGUAUGUGAAAUUGUUGAAAGGGAAGCGCUUGCAACCAGACUUGAGCGCGGCGGUUCCCCCGGUCUUUUGGCCGGGCUACUCCGUCGUGUCCAGGCCAACAUCGGUUCUGAGGGUCGGUCAAAGGCCUUGGGAAUGUAUCUACCUACGGGUAGACUUAUAGACCAGGGUGUCAUGCGGCCUCUCGGGACCGAGGAACGCGCUUCGGCUCGGAUGUUGGCGUAAUGGUUGUCAGCGACCCGUCUUGAAACACGGACC
rnacentral:rRNA from 1 species